GCUAUCAUUUUUUUUUCAUUCUUUCUUCUUCAACCGUGGGAAAGAACUGAAAAUGGCAGCCAUGGAUGAGCUCCAUUCAGCCAAGCUUCUAUGGCUUAUAUAGAUGAUGAAAAUUGAGACUUGGACCUAGAACGGAAAGAAAUCGAUUUAUGGACGAGUAUGUCCUUUUCACCUUUGUGGUAUCGAGAGUUUCCAGGUUAGCUCGGGUUGGAGGCCGUCAGAGAUAUUAUCACCCUAUCGAGUUAACGUUAUCGAGUAAGUAAACUCAAGUGAUUCGAGUCUAUGGCAUGUAUAGGGUUUUAAUGUGAGUAUGUAAUAUUAUGAUUUAGCCAAAGGCAUUGGCUUGUUAUUAAGGUAGUAUUAGUCAUGUAAAUUGGCCUAUGUCGGCUAAUGACAUUAUGGGCCCAUAUGAUUAUUCUUAUGCAUGUAUGUUAUUAUCUCUUGUGAUGUGGCUUACAACAUGUAUGCCUAGAGAUUGAAUUGAGAUUCAUUGAUGAGCUAGUAACUAAUGCAGGAUUAAGUGAUUGGUAAAUAGUUAAUAA